rnacentral:rRNA from 1 species
CCUACGGGCGGCAGCAGUGAGGAAUAUUGGUCAAUGGGCGCGAGCCUGAACCAGCCAAGUCGCGUGAAGGAUGACUGUCCUACGGAUUGUAAACUUCUUUUAUCAGGGAGUAAAAUGAGCCACGAGUGCCUUUUCGUGUGUACUUUAUGAAUAAGGAUCGGCUAACUCCGUGCCAGCAGCCGCGGUAAUACGGAGGAUGCGAGCGUUAUCCGGAUUUAUUGGGUUUAAAGGGUGCGGAGAUGGGUAGUUAAGUCAGUUGUGAAAUUUUGGGGCUCAACCCUAAUCGUGCAGUUGAAACGGGCAUUCUUGAGUACAGGUGAGGUAUGCGGAAUGCGUGGUGUAGCGGUGAAAUGCUUAGAUAUCACGAAGAACUCCGAUUGCGAAGGCAGCUUAC